UACGUAGGGGGCUAGCGUUGUCCGGAUUUAUUGGGCGUAAAGAGCGUGUAGGCGGCCAGGUAGGUCUGGUGUGAAAACUCGAGGCUUAACCUCGAGAUGUCAUCGGAAACCAUCAGGCUAGAGUCCGGAAGAGGAGAGUGGAAUUCCUGGUGUAGCGGUGAAAUGCGCAGAUAUCAGGAAGAACACCCGUGGCUAAGGCGGCUCUCUAGUACGGUACUGACGCUGAGACGCGAAAGCGUGGGGAGCAA
rnacentral:rRNA from 1 species